UACGAAGGGGGCUAGCGUUGCUCGGAAUCACUGGGCGUAAAGCGCGUGUAGGCGGCCAUGCAAGUCGGAUGUGAAAGCCCUCGGCUCAACCGGGGAAGUGCACUCGAAACUGCAAGGCUAGAGUCUCGGAGAGGAUCGUGGAAUUCUCGGUGUAGAGGUGAAAUUCGUAGAUAUCGAGAGGAACACCGGUGGCGAAGGCGGCGAUCUGGACGAUGACUGACGCUGAGACGCGAAAGCGUGGGGAGCAAACAGG
rnacentral:rRNA from 1 species